CGUCAGUGGCAGACGGGUGAGUAACGCGUGGGAAUCUACCCAUCUCUACGGAACAACUCCGGGAAACUGGAGCUAAUACCGUAUACGUCCUUUUGGAGAAAGAUUUAUCGGAGAUGGAUGAGCCCGCGUUGGAUUAGCUAGUUGGUGGGGUAAUGGCCUACCAAGGCGACGAUCCAUAGCUGGUCUGAGAGGAUGAUCAGCCACACUGGGACUGAGACACGGCCCAGACUCCUACGGGAGGCAGCAGCG
rnacentral:rRNA from 1 species